rnacentral:misc_RNA from 1 species
UCCGAGUUGACCCCGGCAGUCUCCUAUGAGUCCCCGGCAUGACCCGCUGGCAACAUAGGACGAGGGUUGCGCUCGUUGCGGGACUUAACCCAACAUCUCACGACACGAGCUGACGACAACCAUGCACCACCUGCGCAGGACCCUUGCGGACCUUCCAUCUCUGAAAGAUUUCCCUGCAUGUCAAGCCUUGGUAAGGUUCUGCGCGUUGCUUCGAAUUAAACCACAUGCUCCACCGCUUGUGCGGGCCCCCGUCAAUUCCUUUGAGUUUCAGUCUUGCGACCGUACUCCCCAGGCGGAGUGCUUAAUGUGUUGACGUCGGCACAGCAGGGGUCGAUACCCGCUACACCAAGCACUCAUCGUUUACGGCGUGGACUAC